rnacentral:rRNA from 1 species
UACGUAGGGAGCAAGCGUUAUCCGGAUUUAUUGGGUGUAAAGGGUGCGUAGACGGGCAAAUAAGUUAGUUGUGAAAUCCCUCGGCUCAACCGAGGAACUGCAACUAAAACUGUUAGUCUUGAGUGCGGGAGAGGAAAGUGGAAUUCCUAGUGUAGCGGUGAAAUGCGUAGAUAUUAGGAGGAACACCAGUGGCGAAGGCGACUUUCUGGACCGUAACUGACGUUGAGGCACGAAAGUGUGGGGAGCAAACAGG